rnacentral:rRNA from 1 species
UACAGAGGUCUCAAGCGUUGUUCGGAUUCAUUGGGCGUAAAGGGUGCGUAGGUGGCGAGGUUAGUCAGGUGUGAAAUCUCGGGGCUCAACCCCGAAACUGCACUUGAUACUGCCUUGCUAGAGUACUGGAGAGGAGAUUGGAAUUUACGGUGUAGCAGUGAAAUGCGUAGAUAUCGUAAGGAAGACCAGUGGCGAAGGCGAAUCUCUGGACAGUUACUGAUACUGAGGCACGAAGGCCAGGGGAGCAAACGGG